rfam:Enterococcus asini ATCC 700915 genomic scaffold acvKe-supercont1.3, whole genome shotgun sequence.
AAUCGUUGCAAGUUCCCGAUAGGAUUCGUUAUUCGAAGAUGCCUUGUAACCGAAAAUAUUUAGGGGGAAACUAUUAUG